rnacentral:rRNA from 1 species
AUGAAAGGCAAAAUGAGGGUNNAACUGUCUCUUAUAGUAAAUCAAUUAAACUGAUCCCCUAGUAAAAAAGCUAGGAUAACCCCAUAAGACCAGAAGACCCUGUGAAGCUUAAACUAACCUACUAAACCAAGUAGUAGCUACUUUCGGUUGGGGCGACCUUGGAAUAAAAAAGAACUUCCAAACACAAUGACACUAAACCAUUACACUUUAGGCUCACAAGCCUACACCCAGACCCAGCACAGCUGAAAAUUGAACCAAGUUACUCCAGGGAUAACAGCGCCAUCCUCUUCAAGAGCCCAUAUCAAAAAGAGGGUUUACGACCUCGAUGUUGGAUCAGGACAUCCUAAUGGUGUA